rnacentral:lncRNA from 1 species
UUUUAUAAAUCUAUAUGGUCGAAAACAUAUUCUAUUAGUUAAAUAAAAAAUAAAAACACAAGUCGGUGAAACGCUCUCUAAUUUGCACUGCGCUGCCUUUCCUCUCUAAUUUUCAUGAUGUAGACAACAGUGGGUGGUGGUGUGAUGAUGGAUCAUCUGACCACACUGCCUCUCGGCCCAGUCUAUUGGAAGUAAGGGUUUCAAGGCUGGGAUCGCGCUGCCAUGUCUGUUGUCUUUUGAUUGCUGGAUCUCUAGUUUGGGUCUCCUAAUUGCUUCAAGGUGAUCUAGGUCAGGUUUUGGGUAAGGAAGGGAAUUUUCUCCCUCUUUGUGCUUUUAAAAUUCGAUUUUCACCCGGAUCUGAUCUCUUACGACCACCAUCAGCGUCGCCGCGGUGGUGGGUUUACUUUGGUUUCAAACCGCUCUACCUUCUUUGAUGGUGGUGACGGUUCUGGUUUCAUGAUUGGUUGGCUUCAAGUUCGAUCAUGUUCGACGUUUGACUUUGAGUUGUGAUUAGGACCGUGCUCGAAAGGGCGAAGGCUUUGGGAUCAUAGUCUGCUUUAGGUUGAUUUGUGGUCGUAAUCUUACUGUGUUCGUUCGUUGUAAGUGAUGGGGACGCGAAGUUGGUUGAUUCCGUGUUGGCAGACAAUGAGACAAUUUCACUUGUCUGUGAUUAAUUGGUUCAUUCAAUUCAUAAUUGUCGAUUAGAUGUGUUAGAUUAGACGCUUUCCUCUCUGGCGGCAAGCUUCGCCUCAGAUUUCCAACCUACCGUCGUCGCCAUCCUCAAGGUUGUCGUCGUUCUUCAAAGUCUGAGAAGGGAUAAAGCUUCCAGUAUUCCUCCCCGCACUGGAACGAGGGUCUUAUUUGGUCUGGAGAGGAUGGUACACGGAUCUGCUCUGUGUUGACGAUUGGUCCAUUCAUCGCGGUCUAGACCUCUACUUAAGAGGCUGUUAUAAUCCACUUGUGUUGUUUUUAAUUUUCAUAUUACCCGUUUGGGUAUACCUCCAUUGUGUGGAUAAACUGGUUAGGUUUAUGUAUCACAGCUUUUUAUGUAUUUUUUUUCCUUUUUUUAAUAAUAUAUUUAUGAGCAUCUGACAAGAGAUUAGAGUUGGAUACUAACUUAGUUGAG